rnacentral:lncRNA from 1 species
UUUUUGAUAAAAAACUGAAAUUAUUAUAUUAUACUAGUUUCCAUAAAUUAAGAACAAAACAGAAAAAUGGCAAUAAUUUUUUAAAAAGUUGCUGAAUGCACUUAAAAAUGAUAUAUACUAUAUAGAUUUCAAUGCUAAGUAAGAAUAAAAUAUACAAUUUAUUUCUGUAGUCAUCUAUAUAUGAAAAUCAGCUGCAUUAUGAAAGCCACUGUGUAAAGUUUGGUUCACUAAUUCAAGUUUGAAGUUGAAAGAGGAAAAUCAGAUAGCAGAAUUUUAGAAUAUGCUUUGUAGAUGUCAUUUAACUGAUGAAGUGAGAAACUAAGAGCAGGCCAAAUUCAAGUAGAAAUGGCCAGAUGGUCAAAUAUUAACCAUACUUUGUUUACAGACUGUGGAGCUAAUUUCAAAAUUCUCAAACAGCAUUUUAGAGUACCAAUGGAAGACAAUGACUACCAUUGCUACUCUAAAAUGGAUUAUUAAUAUCUUUGAUUAUUGGCUCGAAAGAAUAGGAAUGCUACUAUAACACCUGCAAUAUGUCCUUGAUGCAGCUACAAGAGGACUGGUAUCUGAUUUCACUGUACAGAGAAAGCUUCAUGAAAGAGGUCUGUAUGCUAGAUGACCAGCAGUCAUGUCGCUUAUCACCAUCACAGGAAGAAAUGUUUGAAAUGGACAAGAUGGUGCUCCUGGACACUUGGCCAAUAGACAUUUCACCAAUGGAUAUUAAACUGAUAAGUAUUUGAUCAGACAGAUAACAGAUCAAACAGACAUUUGGCUGAAUAAACUUAUAGCUUUUUUAAUUUUGUUAUUUUUAUUUCUUCC